GAUGAACGCUGGCGGCGUGCCUAAUACAUGCAAGUCGAGCGAACAGACGAGGAGCUUGCUCCUCUGACGUUAGCGGCGGACGGGUGAGUAACACGUGGAUAACCUACCUAUAAGACUGGGAUAACUUCGGGAAACCGGAGCUAAUACCGGAUAACAUGUUGAACCGCAUGGUUCAACAGUGAAAGACGGUCUUGCUGUCACUUAUAGAUGGAUCCGCGCCGCAUUAGCUAGUUGGUAAGGUAACGGCUUACCAAGGCAACGAUGUGUAGCCGACCUAAGAGGGUGAUCGGCCACACUGGAUCUGAGACACGGUCCAGACUCCUACGGGAGGCAGCAGUAGGGAAUCUUCCGCAAUGGGCGAAAGCCUGACGGAGCAACGCCGCGUGAGUGAAGAAGGUCUUCGGAUCGUAAAACUCUGUUAUUAGGGAAGAACAAAUGUGUAAGUAACUAUGCACGUCUUGACGGUACCUAAUCAGAAAGCCACGGCUAACUACGUGCCAGCCGCCGCCGUAA
rnacentral:rRNA from 1 species